rnacentral:rRNA from 1 species
UGCGUAGGCGGGCUAAUAAGUCAGUGGUGAAAUCUUUCGGCUCAACCGGGAAACUGCCAUUGAUACUGUUAGUCUUGAGUUCGGUUGAGGUAGGCGGAAUGUGUAAUGUAGCGGUGAAAUGCUUAGAUAUUACACAGAACACCAAUUGCGUAGGCAGCUUACUAGACCGACACUGACGCUGAGGCACGAAAGCGUGGGGAGCGAACAGGAUUAGAUACCCUGGUAGUC